rnacentral:rRNA from 1 species
AUUGAACGCUGGCGGCAGGCCUAACACAUGCAAGUCGAACGAGUGGCGGACGGGUGUGUAAUGUCUGGGAAACUGCCUGAUGGAGGGGGAUAACUCCUGGAAACGGUAGCUAAUACCGCAUACCAUCGGAUGUGCCCAGGUGGGAUUAGCUUGUUGGUUGGGUAAUGGCGCACCAGGGCGACGAUCCCUAGCUGGGUUGAGAGGAUGACCGUCCGCACUGGAACUGGGAGACGGUCCAGACUCCUACGGGAGGCAGCAGUGGGGAAUAUUGGACAAUGGGCGCAGGCCUGAUGCAGCCAUGCGGCGAGGAUGAGGAGGGCCUUCGGGUUGUAAAGUACUUUCAGCGGGGAGGCGUUACCCGCAGAAGAAGCGCCGGCUAACUCCGUGCCAGCAGCCGCGGUAAUUC